rnacentral:rRNA from 1 species
UAGCUCAAUGAAGCGAACCGGGAGAACUGAAACAUCUAAGUACCCCGAGGAAAAGAAAUCAACCGAGAUUCCGAAAGUAGCGGCGAGCGAAAUUGGAUUAGCCCUUAAGCUUUACAUGUGUUAGACGAACGGUCUGGAAAGUCCGACGAUACAGGGUGAUAGUCCCGUAGUUGACGAUGCAUGUUCAGUGAAAUCGAGUAGGGCGGGACACGUGUUAUCCUGUCUGAAUAUGGGGGGACCAUCCUCCAAGGCUAAAUACUCCUGACUGACCGAUAGUGAACCAGUACCGUGAGGGAAAGGCGAAAAGAACCCCUGUGAGGGGAGUGAAAUAGAACCUGAAACCGUGUACGUACAAGCAGUAGGAGCACCUUCGUGGUGUGACUGCGUACCUUUUGUAUAAUGGGUCAGCGACUUAUAUUCAGUGGCAAGGUUAACCAUCUAGGGGAGCCGUAGGGAAACCGAGUCUUAACUGGGCGCCAUAGUCUCUGGAUAUAGACCCGAAACCGAGUGAUCUAGCCAUGGGCAGGUUGAAGGUUGAGUAACAUCAACUGGAGGACCGAACCGACUAAUGUUGAAAAAUUAGCGGAUGACUUGUGGCUAGGGGUGAAAGGCCAAUCAAACUCGGAGAUAGCUGGUUCUCCCCGAAAGCUAUUUAGGUAGCGCCUCGGACGAAUACUACUGGGGGUAGAGCACUGUUAAGGCUAGGGGGUCAUCCCGACUUACCAACCCUUUGCAAACUCCGAAUACCAGUAAGUACUAUCCGGGAGACACACGGCGGGUGCUAACGUCCGUCGUGGAGAGGGAAACAACCCAGACCGCCAGCUAAGGUCCCAAAUUACAGCUAAGUGGGAAACGAUGUGGGAAGGCUUAGACAGCUAGGAUGUUGGCUUAGAAGCAGCCAUCAUUUAAAGAAAGCGUAAUAGCUCACUAGUCGAGUCGGCCUGCGCGGAAGAUGUAACGGGGCUAAGUUGUAAACCGAAGCUGCGGCAAUGUUCUUUGAACAUUGGGUAGGGGAGCGUUCUGUAAGCCGUUGAAGGUGUGUUGUAAAGCAUGCUGGAGGUAUCAGAAGUGCGAAUGC